GUCGAGCGAACAGAGAAGGAGCUUGCUCCUUUGACGUUAGCGGCGGACGGGUGAGUAACACGUGGGCAACCUACCUUAUAGUUUGGGAUAACUCCGGGAAACCGGGGCUAAUACCGAAUAAUCUUGUUUCACCUCAUGGUGAAAUAUUGAAAGACGGUUUCGGCUGUCGCUAUAGGAUGGGCCCGCGGCGCAUUAGCUAGUUGGUGAGGUAACGGCUCACCAAGGCGACGAUGCGUAGCCGACCUGAGAGGGUGAUCGGCCACACUGGGACUGAGACACGGCCCAGACUCCUACGGGAGGCAGCAGUAGGGAAUCUUCCACAAUGGGCGAAAGCCUGAUGGAGCAACGCCGCGUGAGUGAAGAAGGAUUUCGGUUCGUAAAACUCUGUUGUACAGGGAAGAACAAGUACAGUAGUAACUGGCUGUACCUUGACGGUACUUAUUCAGAAAGCCCAACGGCUAACUAC
rnacentral:rRNA from 1 species